GCAAACAACAGAUCGGGUUUCUAAAAGCUAUUUCAACCCCCCUCCCAGUUACUGCCACCCUCUCCCAGGUCUAGAGAGGGGUACCCACGGUGGAGGGAGGUGGGAGGCCGAGACGGCCCCGGGGGUCGGCGGAGACCCAGCGGGAGCAGGGGGAAAUCGGAAGAGCUGGGGGCAUGGAGCGGGCGAGUUUGGAGCGGAAUGAGCCGGGAGCCCUACGUUGUGGAAGGAAGACAACAGUAUAGGACCAUCAGCAGGACCGGACAGAGAGGGGCACGUAAGCAGUAAUUACUGGAUGGCAUAGUAAUUCUACUAAAAAUUAAAAUGCCACUUAUUGGAAUGGUGUGUGAACACUCUAAAGCAACCCGGGAAGAAGACAGCAGUCAAGAAGACCAAGGAAGGAAAUGGAGGAGGGAUGACCCCACCAUUACAGGGUUUCUCUGUAUAGCCCUGGCUGUCCUGGAACUUGUAGACCAGGCUGGCCUUGAACUCAGAAAUCCGCCUGCCUCUGACUCCCGAGUGCUGAGAUUAAAGGUGUGCACCACCACACCCGACAAGGAAGCCUGUUUUAAGAAGUGAUUCCAUGGAGGAGUUCUGCGGCGGCUCAGGGCUUGACUAAACAGUGGACCUCAGACAAGAGAGGCUAAACCAGGCUGCAGGUGACAGGAAGAAUUGAAUAAACUGAAAGCAAAGGGCAGCCUUCUAAUUACGCUUCGUGGCUAUGUGGACAACCUGGAGAAGUCUGGAAACCUUUCCUCCUCCAUUUUACUACUUGAGGGAGCAGUGGGUGGGAUACUAGAAAGAAGCCAGAAGCCCGAAGCCAGCAGUAGAGCUCUGACUGGCUUGUAUGCCUAGAAAGGAAGGGCUCUUCUUUCGCCUCACGGGCACAAAUGGGACCCACGAGCGCCGAUUUCAGACUAUUCUGAUCCCUUCAAAAAGAAAGUUAGGAGUCCAGGCUACUGUGAGUGAAUUUGAUUCUAAUUGUUUCAGAGAAUAUGGAAUAAAAUAUCUCAUUUGCAGUUGUUUA
rnacentral:lncRNA from 1 species